UUGCUCCUAAACACUAAACAUAAACCCUACACCCUAAAUCCCAAACCCUAAAAUCUUAUCCCUACUUUAACUUCCUGGUUCUUAUUCCGUUUCUAGUUUUUAUACUAAAUGAUAAACAAAACAUCAAGUCAAUUUGGACUACAAAAACACAAACCAAGCUUCUUCAUGAUUCUCAAAGCUUUGAUGGUAAACCCGAAGUUCUUAACAGUUUUUGGUUUUGAAUCGUAUAACAAGGAAGCACUACUUUACUCUUCUGGAUCUCGUUGAGGUUCUAGUUUUAUAUCCAAUCAUACACAUAACAUCUACUCAUAUUUCAC
rnacentral:sRNA from 1 species